UUUAUAUUAUUCAGGCAAAACUGGAAUGCUUCAUUCUUGUUCAUACAACUUGAAAAGUCAAAUGUCCAAUUGUCCAUGGUUGUAAAGAACAAAGUCUCUUAGUGAUUAAAAAAAUAGUAGCCACUCAAAGAAGAGGAAUGUUAUGAUACUACAGCUGCAGCAUAUUAUUGGGAGAAAUAUUAUUGCUUGUUAAUUUGCAGUGGGCUUUAUCUGUGCCUUGUUAUUCCAGCCUCAUGUUUUUACUUUCUAAACACAGUGUGUCCAGUGGGGAGCACAGAGCACGGUCCCACCAACUCACUGUCCAACAAGAAACAGCUGUCCCUUUGAUUCCAGCACAAGCAAAGACCCUCAUCGAUGGCCAGUGCCAGGCCAAAGGCCCAGCAGUGAGCUUGGGAUCAGAGGCCAGUAGCUUCCAGCAUGAGCUGGGCCAAGGAGUCCAGACACCAGUGUGGAUCGGGGUCUCCAUGUUCCAGUGGAUAUGUAGUUUCUCUAGUAGCCCCUAUGCUCCUUUAGCCAAAGGAGCAUGUGAAGACUUCUCUCUCUAGAAAGCUGCUUCCUGUUGAGGCUUUGGGUGGGGAAAUAUCAAUGGUAGCACAGGUUAGACUGCUCAGAGAUACUCAAGGAAAGAAGGUGAGGGAAAUCCCCAGACAGUAAAAAUAAAGAAAUGGGAUUACAUCAACAUUUUCAGGGACUCUCCCAAGUCAGGUUACUGGAUGCUGUUCCAUCUGUACAUGGACAAUCCCUGAGGUCAAGAGUACACCUCCUAGAGCUGAACAAAGUUGGCUCCGCCUAACAAGCCUCUGUACCUCAGAGCCUAGGGCAGGCCACCACUGUGGGCAUCCUGGUCCCUAACGAUAGACUCAAAUUCCCUCUUUCAGAAGUCCAGAAGACGGAGGCAUCUUUCUGAAGCCUGAAGCAUUGACUCCCAGGUUUUCCCAGUGCCCUUUUCCCAAUUCCCAGUGCCUGGAAAUGAAGAGGGGUUCAAUGGAAGAUACUUGUGAUUACUACUGCAUACAAUGUAUAAGGUUUUUAUAUUCAGCACCUGUGAGUCCAAACUUUGGAGAUGCCUGCUUCUAGCUACAUGGAUUCAGUCAAGUCUCUUCACAGCUCUGAGUCCCCAAUUUCCCUUCCACAAAAUAGAAAUAAUUUUCAUGGUGGAUAUUGUGGUUAAGAAGGAUAAUAUGCUCAGCACACUAUUCAUUCAGCAGAAAAAAUGCACAUAGACCAACUACAUUAGUGUCACCCUACCUCUGUCUCGAAAUUCAUUUGCAUCUCUCUACUUUUUUGCUUUUUCUCUUGGAUACUGAGUUAGUCACCCCCUGGGGACCUAGAUCACUCUGGCCUUUCCCUAACAUUUGUUUUUUCUUUCCAAACUUCAAUUUUAUUAUAGGCUACCUUAAUUCUUGAUGACCUUGUUCUCUCUCCAGCAUACCAGUCCCCUAAAAAUCACCUUUCCUGGAAUUAUCAUCAUACAGAAAAACAUAAAAGCUGUUCUCAGGGAGCCUCCUAGGCUAAGAAGCUUUGCCCCACACAGCCUGCUUCUGAAACCCCUCUUGAAAGAAGCACUCCAAAUGCAGAGGAAUACAUCCAGGAUGAUUAUUCACAAUAUUCAGUAGCAUUAUGUACAAUAGCCAAGUUAUAAAAACAACAUAAAUGCCCAUUUAUGGAUAAAUGGACAAAGAAAAUGUGGCAUAUGCACACAAUGGAUUAUUAUUCAGCCUUUAAAAAGAAGAAAAUCCAGCCAUUUGGGACAACAUGGAAGAACCUGGAGUAUAUCAUGCUAUGUGAAAUGAGCCAGUCACAAAACGACAAAUACUGCAUGAUUCCACUUACAGAUACGAUAUCUGAAAUAGUCAAAUUCAUAGAAACAGAGAGUAGAAUGGUGGUUUCCAGGGACUGGGGGAAGGAGAAAUGAAGGGAUGCUCUUCAAUGCAUAUAAUAUUCAUUUAAGCAAGAGAAGUAAGUUCUAGAGAUCUGUACAAGAGUAUACCUACAGUAUACUUUAUUAACAAUAUUGUACAUUUAAAAAUUUAUUAGGCAAGUAUAUCUCAUUUUAAGCCAUAAUACAAGUAAUUAUAGGAUGUAUCUCAAGGAAUACUAAGAGAAAAUGCAAUGUUUUAUGCAUUUAUAAGAAAAUAAAGGAGAAUAAAAACAAGUAGACAUAAAUUUCUAAAGAAGUUGAAUUGCUUCUUCCAGAAAACAUCCAGGCAACGUCAAAGAUGGCCAGAUUUCUCCCCAGCCCUGAGUUUAGGAGAUCCAAUAUCCCAGUUGGUCCAACAGCUGGUCCAUACAUCUCAGUUUAGGUCCAUUAACCUCGUGCAUUCAUAGACCCCUUUCACUCUCCUAAGUGUUUUGGUCAUCUCACAGGUCUAGAGGAAUUACCAGCACAGGGAAAGGCAGAGAAGAAACAGUUCUACUUUUUUGUAGGAACCAUGAGAAAUGAAAAGCUCGGGGAGUGCUAUGCUGUCACCAGGAAAAAAUGUAAUCUCUAACAUCAAUGUGGUCACUCAAAUGCUGAAUGGAAGAAGACAUCAGGAUGGGAUGAGGAGGUUGGGGCAAUGCCUGCAGGGCCCUGGAAUUCAUCAGUGUGCUCAGGAAAACAGCAUUUCCACAUCUUCCUCCAAAGCUUAGGGACAAGUAAAAAUAUAAUGGAAAGUAAACAUUACAACAGGACUACACAGAUGAACUAUUUUGGGAAUCAUAAUACGGCAAGAAAUAAAAUUUCAGCUAAUAUUCUGUAAGAAGAAAACUUAUUUCAAAAUAAGAGAGGAUUAAAAAGAAGUCUUCAAAAUAAGAGAGGAUUAAAAAGAAGUCUUCAAAAUAAGAGAGGAUUAAAAAGAAGUCUUCAAAAUAAGAGAGGAUUAAAAAGAAGUCUUCAAAAUAAGUGUUCUCUAGAUGAAUGCGACCCAUGUCAGUUUAUGGUUUGUGAGUUCACAGGAAAAACCCACAGUAGACUCUCAGAAACCCUUGCCAGAAUAGGCAGGGAGGGUUUUUCAGAUAGCUGUGCACCUGCAUUGUUCACUGAAAUAGGGAGUGAAAUUUCUAUUAGUGAAGCACUAUUUGUCCCACCCACCCCAGUAGUGAGGCCUGGAGAAACCUGAGUUUGGGAAGAUACCACCCUCCCCAACAAUCUUACUGGUUCCUCUUAGAAACAAGAGCCUUUGUGUGAGCCUGCUUUACAAACUAUAAAACUCCUUAAAAAUGCAAGGAAUCAAUAUUAUAACCACAAUAUUCCACUAAAGCCAUUUGAUUCAUAAAAGAGCCACUGAGAUGUCAAAAUUUUUAUUUCACAAAUUUAAUGCUUUUGAGGUCCAGUGAUAACACUUUAGGUGAAAGCUUCAUUUUCUUAAUCCAGUCUAUCGUUGUUGGACAUUUAGGUUGGUUCCAAGUCUUUGCUAUUGUGAAUAGUGCUGCUAUAAACAUACGUGUGCAUGUGUCUUUAUAGCAGCAUGAUUUAUAGUCUUUUGGGUAUAUACCCAGUAAUGGGAUGGCUAGGUAAAAUGGUAUUUCUAGUUCUAGAUCCCUGAGAAAUCGCCACACUGACGACCAACCUAAAUGUCCAACAACGAUAGACUGGAUUAAGAAAAUGUGCCACAUAUACAUCAUGGAAUACUAAGCAGCCAUAAAAAAUGAUGAGUUCAUGUCCUUUGUAGGGACAUGGAUGAAGCUGGAAACCAUUAUUCUCAGCACACUAUCGCAAGGACAAAAAACCAAACACCGCAUCUUCUCACUCAUAGGUGGAAAUUGAACAAUGAGAACACAUGGACACAGGAAGGGGAACAUCAC
rnacentral:lncRNA from 1 species